rnacentral:rRNA from 5 species
AGAGUUUGAUCCUGGCUCAGAUUGAACGCUGGCGGCAGGCCUAACACAUGCAAGUCGAGCGGUAGAGAGAAGCUUGCUUCUCUUGAGAGCGGCGGACGGGUGAGUAAUGCCUAGGAAUCUGCCUGGUAGUGGGGGAUAACGUUCGGAAACGGACGCUAAUACCGCAUACGUCCUACGGGAGAAAGCAGGGGACCUUCGGGCCUUGCGCUAUCAGAUGAGCCUAGGUCGGAUUAGCUAGUUGGUGGGGUAAUGGCUCACCAAGGCGACGAUCCGUAACUGGUCUGAGAGGAUGAUCAGUCACACUGGAACUGAGACACGGUCCAGACUCCUACGGGAGGCAGCAGUGGGGAAUAUUGGACAAUGGGCGAAAGCCUGAUCCAGCCAUGCCGCGUGUGUGAAGAAGGUCUUCGGAUUGUAAAGCACUUUAAGUUGGGAGGAAGGGCCGUUACCUAAUACGUGAUGGUUUUGACGUUACCGACAGAAUAAGCACCGGCUAACUCUGUGCCAGCAGCCGCGGUAAUAC